rnacentral:pre_miRNA from 13 species
CACAUCUUUCAGUGUCAUUCUUGUGGUUUGCAGCUAGUAAUCUGGGUCCAGUUGCAUAGUCACAAAAAUGAUCACGGACUGAUGUG